GCCGGCGUGCCCCAACUGGCAGAGGGACUCGGCUUAGAACCGAUUCAGUGCGGGUUCGAAUCCCGCCGCCGGCA
rnacentral:tRNA from 1 species